rnacentral:rRNA from 1 species
AUUGAACGCUGGCGGCAGGCCUAACACAUGCAAGUCGAGCGAGCGGCGGACGGGUGAGUAAUGCUUGGGAAACUGCCUGAUGGAGGGGGAUAACUACUGGAAACGGUAGCUAAUACCGCAUACCAUCAGAUGUGCCCAGGUGGGAGUAGCUAGUAGGUGGGGUAACGGCUCACCUAGGCGACGAUCCCUAGCUGGUCUGAGAGGAUGACCAGCCACACGGGAACUGAGACACGGCCCAGACUCCUACGGGAGGCAGCAGUGGGGAAUAUUGCGCAAUGGGCGCAAGCCUGAUGCAGCAAUGCCGCGUGUGUGAGGAAGGCCUUCGGGUUGUAAAGCACUUUCAGCGGGGAGGCGUUACCCGCAGAAGAAGCACCGGCUAACUCCGUGCCAGCAGCCGCGGUAAUAC